UACAGAGGGGGCGAGCGUUGUUCGGAAUUACUGGGCGUAAAGGGCGCGUAGGCGGCCCGCUAAGUCGAACGUGAAAUCCCCAGGCUCAACCUGGGAACUGCGUCCGAUACUGGAAAGCUCGAGUCCGGGAGAGGUGAGUGGAACUGCGAGUGUAGAGGUGAAAUUCGUAGAUAUUCGCAAGAACACCAGUGGCGAAGGCGGCUCACUGGCCCGGUACUGACGCUGAGGUGCGAAAGCGUGGGGAGCAAACAGG
rnacentral:rRNA from 1 species